GACGAACCGUGCGAACGUUGUUCGGAAUCACUGGGCUUAAAGGGCGCGUAGGCGGCUUCGCAAGUCCGGGGUGAAAGCCCCCAGCUUAACUGGGGAAGUGCCUCGGAUACUGCGGAGCUUGAGGGAGGUAGGGGCGGAUGGAACUUCCGGUGGAGCGGUGAAAUGCGUUGAUAUCGGAAGGAACGCCGGUGGCGAAAGCGAUCCGCUGGCCCUCUUCUGACGCUGAGGCGCGAAAGCCAGGGGAGCAAACGGGG
rnacentral:rRNA from 1 species